CCUACGGGAGGCAGCAGUAGGGAAUAUUGCUCAAUGGGGGAAACCCUGAAGCAGCAACGCCGCGUGGAGGAUGAAGGUUUUCGGAUUGUAAACUCCUUUUGUUAGAGAAGAUAAUGACGGUAUCUAACGAAUAAGCACCGGCUAACUCCGUGCCAGCAGCCGCGGUAAUACGGAGGGUGCAAGCGUUACUCGGAAUCACUGGGCGUAAAGGGCGCGUAGGCGGGAUAGCAAGUCAGAUGUGAAAUCCUAUGGCUUAACCAUAGAACUGCAUUUGAAACUGUUAUUCUAGAGUAUGGGAGAGGUAGGUGGAAUUCUUGGUGUAGGGGUAAAAUCCGUAGAGAUCAAGAAGAAUACUCAUUGCGAAGGCGACCUGCUAGAACAUAACUGACGCUGAUGCGCGAAAGCGUGGGGAGCAAACAGGAUUAGAUACCCCAGUAGUC
rnacentral:rRNA from 1 species